CCCUGGAGGACUAGCGGUUAGGCCACAGCGCUCUCACCGCUAUGGCCCGGGGUCGAUUCCUGGCCACUGGGG
rnacentral:tRNA from 1 species